rnacentral:rRNA from 1 species
UUUUGGGAGGAUUGACAGAUUGAGAGCUCUUUCUUAAUUUGGUGGAUGGUGGCUCAUGUCCGUUCUUAGUUGGUGGAGCGAUUUGUCUGGUUAAUUCCGAUAACGAACGAGACUCUAGCCUAUUAAAAAGGUGCGUGGUUCUCUGCACCUGGCACCCUUCUCAGAGAGACAAGCGGCUCUUAGCGGCGCACGCGCGCUACUCUGAAGGAAGCAGCGUGUUUUUAUUCCUGUCUGUUAAGACAGUAAGCUUAGAAAAAAGUGGCUUGAGUAAAUAGAGAGGGCUAAUUGAAGUCCAUCG